GAUGAACGCUAGCGGUAUGCUUAACACAUGCAAGUCGUACGAGAGUUUUUAACUCAAGUGGCGGACGGGUGAGUAACACGUGAGAAUUUACCUUUAGGAGGGGGAUAACAAUUGGAAACGAUUGCUAAUACCCCAUAUGCUUUUUUAAGUGAAAUGGAUUUUUCCGCCUAAAGAAAAGCUCGCGGCUGAUUAGCUAGUUGGUAAGGUAAUGGCUUACCAAGGCGACGAUCAGUAUCUGGUUUGAGAGGACGAUCAGACACACUGGAACUGAGACACGGUCCAGACUCCUACGGGAGGCAGCAGUGGGGAAUUUUCCGCAAUGGGCGAAAGCCUGACGGAGCAAUACCGCGUGAGGGAAGACAGCCUACUGGGUUGUAAACCUCUUUUUUCAGGGAGGAAAAAAAUGACGUGUACCUGAAGAAUAAGCAUCGGCUAACUCCGUGCCAGCAGCCGCGGUAAGACGGAGGAUGCAAGUGUUAUCCGGAAUUACUGGGCGUAAAGCGUCUGUAGGUUGUUUAAUAAGUCAACUGUUAAAUCUUGAGGCUUAACUUCAAAACAGCAGUCGAAACUAUUAGACUAGAGUAUAGUAGGGGUAAAGGGAAUUUCCAGUGGAGCGGUGAAAUGCGUAGAUAUUGGAAAGAACACCGAUGGCGAAAGCACUUUACUGGGCUAUUACUGACACUCAGAGACGAAAGCUAGGGUAGCAAAUGGGAUUAGAUACCCCAGUAGUCCUAGCUGUAAACAAUGGAUACUAGAUGUUGAACAGAUCGACCUGUGCAGUAUUAAAGCUAACGCGUUAAGUAUCCCGCCUGGGAAGUAU
rnacentral:rRNA from 1 species